UACGUAGGGUGCAAGCGUUAAUCGGAAUUACUGGGCGUAAAGCGUGCGCAGGCGGUUUGUAAGUCUGUCGUGAAGCCCGGCUUAACCUGGAAUUGCGAUGGAGACUGCAAGGCUUGAAUCUGCAGAGGGGUAGAUUCCACGUGUAGCAGUGAAUGCGUAGAGAUGCGAGACACGAUGCGAGCAUCCUGACUGUACUGACGCUCAUGCACGAAGCG
rnacentral:rRNA from 1 species